AUGUUCACGGCAGUGAGGAGGAGACGGAAGAGGAGCCUCGGCCACCCCUCCUCCUCCCGGAUUAGAGUCUCUCCGCCUGCGCCGCCACAGCGGCCUCGGCCUCUCUUGUCUCCCUUCCCCCCCAACCCGUCCUCGGCUGGGAUUCCAGGCGCCCCUUCGCCCAGUACCCUAUUCCGGACCCGUAAUGCCAUUCUCGCGCCUGGACUGCAGGAUCAGGGGGAGACGCUCCCGACUGGGGGACCGAGGAGAGUUCAGGUGGGUAGAGGAGAGGGCCUUGGGGCCCCUGUCAGUCAAGGGAGGAUCUGGGAUAAGUGUGGAGAUGUGUUGCCAGGUGAUUGGGCAUAAAAGGCCUGAGCUUGAGAAGUAGCGGGGUGACUUCAGAGAGGGCAAGUCAAAUUUUAAGAAAUUGCGGUCCAGAUGUUAAGAUGACUUCAGUAGGUGACCUCAGCAAAGUUUUCUUUAUGAACCACAGCUCUGGA
rnacentral:lncRNA from 1 species